UGCAACUGAAGAAGAGGAGACCCUGAUUGAGGUCACUGUGGCAUAUGAUUCUGAAAUAGAUGAUGAUACUUUGCCAUUAAAGACAACAUCAUCUACGUUAGCUUUCAUCAAGAACCUGGAAAAUUAUUUGGUCAAUGCUGGUUCUUAGAUGUUUUCUAUUAAUGGGUCCUGCUCUUUUGGUUUUGGAUGAUAUCUUCUAUGAGUAAAGCUUUCAAUUGUGUUGUAAAUUUCUCAUGCAAUCGUAGAGCAAGAAAUUGGCUGUUGAAAUAUGUAUAUAGAACAAUAAUUUUAUUCUAUUUG
rnacentral:misc_RNA from 1 species